rnacentral:rRNA from 1 species
UUCUUAUGGAGAAAAACAUAAGUAUCACCUGCUCAAUGAAAUUAAAUAGCUGCAGGAGACUGUACUAAGGUAGCAUAAUCAUUAGUUUAUUAAUUGUAAACUUGAAUGAAUGGUGGAAUGAAUUGGAACUAGUAUUUUUAUAAAUAAUUGAAAUUUAAUUUUUAGUAAAAAUGCUAAAAUAUUAUUUAGGGACAAGAAGACCCUAUAAAGCUUUAAAAUAAUUUUUAUAUUAAAUAAAUAAGUUUUUUUGUUGGGGAAAUAAAGUAAGAAAAAAUUUUACUUUUGAGCCAAAAUUUUUGAAUAUAAGAUUAAGUUACUUUAGGGAUAACAGCAUAAUAAAGGGAAUGAAGUUCUUAUUUUUUCCCUUGAUUGUGACCUCGAUGUUGGAUUAAUAAGUUCAUUUAGGAGAAAUAGCUUAAAUUGAUAGUCUGUUCGACUAUUAAAUUAUUACA